rnacentral:piRNA from 1 species
UCCUUAGAGGAAAUGAGGCAAAUGUAAU